CUUGUAGUUGUUAUGGGGGUGUAGCUUGACUUAAGGGAUUUGGGAGGACCAUUAACUUAAUUAUUGCUAGUUUUGAAAUGUCUUUGUAAGUGGAAUUGGCACAGAUGGAAUGUGGAAGAGCGUCAGUUUAGGGACAGAGUGU